rnacentral:rRNA from 1 species
UACGUAGGGACCGAGCGUUGUCCGGAUUCAUUGGGCGUAAAGAGCUCGUAGGCGGCUGUUCAAGUCGAACGUGAAAACUCGGAGCUCAACUCCGAGCCUGCGUUCGAUACUGGACGGCUAGAGUCUGGUAGGGGGAUCUGGAAUUCCUGGUGUAGCGGUGGAAUGCGCAGAGUAUCAGGAGGAACACCGGUGGGCGGAAGGCGGGAUCCGUGGGCCAGUACUGACGCUGAGGAGCGAAAGCGUGGGGAGCAAACAGG